UACAGAGGGUGCGAGCGUUGUUCGGAAUUACUGGGCGUAAAGCGCGCGCAGGCGGCUCUUUAAGUCUGACGGUGAAAUGCCGGGGCUCAACCCCGUGCCCGCCGCGGAUACUGGAGGGCUGGAGACACGUAGAGGCAAGCGGAAUUCCGGGUGUAGCGGUGGAAUGCGUAGAGAUCCGGAAGAACACCGGAGGCGAAGGCGGCUUGCUGGGCGUAGUCUGACGCUGAGGCGCGAAAGCGGGGGGAGCGAACAGG
rnacentral:rRNA from 1 species